rnacentral:rRNA from 1 species
UACGUAGGGUGCGAGCGUUAAUCGGAAUUACUGGGCGUAAAGCGUGCGCAGGCGGUUAUUUAAGUCAGGUGUGAAAGCCCUGGGCUUAACCUAGGAAUUGCGCUUGAGACUGGAUAGCUUGGAGUGCGGCAGAGGGAGGUGGAAUUCCACGUGUAGCAGUGAAAUGCGUAGAGAUGUGGAGGAACACCGAUGGCGAAGGCAGCC